rnacentral:tRNA from 1 species
GGCUUUGAAGUAUGAAUUACGUUGAAUUGCAAAUUCAAAAAAGUAGCUCGCAGCUGCCGAGGCCU